UUGAACGCUGGCGGCAUGCUUUACACAUGCAAGUCGGACGGCAGCACAGAGAAGCUUGCUUCUUGGGUGGCGAGUGGCGAACGGGUGAGUAACAUAUCGGAACGUACCGAGUAGUGGGGGAUAACUGAUCGAAAGAUUAGCUAAUACCGCAUACGUCUUGAGAGGGAAAGCAGGGGACCUUCGGGCCUUGCGCUAUUCGAGCGGCCGAUAUCUGAUUAGCUAGUUGGUGGGGUAAAGGCCUACCAAGGCGACGAUCAGUAGCGGGUCUGAGAGGAUGAUCCGCCACACUGGGACUGAGACACGGCCCAGACUCCUACGGGAGGCAGCAGUGGGGAAUUUUGGACAAUGGGCGCAAGCCUGAUCCAGCCAUGCCGCGUGUCUGAAGAAGGCCUUCGGGUUGUAAAGGACUUUUGUCAGGGAAGAAAAGGCUGUUGCUAAUAUCAGCGGCUGAUGACGGUACCUGAAGAAUAAGCACCGGCUAACUACGUG
rnacentral:rRNA from 1 species